GGUGAACGCUGGCGGCGUGCCUAAUACAUGCAAGUCGAGCGAACAGACGAGGAGCUUGCUCCUCUGACGUUAGCGGCGGACGGGUGAGUAACACGUGGAUAACCUACCUAUAAGACUGGGAUAACUUCGGGAAACCGGAGCUAAUACCGGAUAAUAUAUUGAACCGCAUGGUUCAAUAGUGAAAGACGGUUUUGCUGUCACUUAUAGAUGGAUCCGCGCCGCAUUAGCUAGUUGGUAAGGUAACGGCUUACCAAGGCAACGAUGCGUAGCCGACCUGAGAGGGUGAUCGGCCACACUGGAACUGAGACACGGUCCAGACUCCUACGGGAGGCAGCAGUAGGGAAUCUUCCGCAAUGGGCGAAAGCCUGACGGAGCAACGCCGCGUGAGUGAUGAAGGUCUUCGGAUCGUAAAACUCUGUUAUUAGGGAAGAACAAAUGUGGAAGUAACUAUGCACGUCUUGACGGUACCUAAUCAGAAAGCCACGGCUAACUACGUG
rnacentral:rRNA from 1 species